AUACGUAGGUGACAAGCGUUAUCCGGAUUUACUGGGCGUAAAGGGCGUGUAGGCGGUCUUGCAAGUCAGAAGUGAAAUUCCUGAGCUCAACUCGGGCGCUGCUUCUGAAACUGCAGGACUUGAGUGCUGGAGGGGAUAGCGGAAUUCCUAGUGGAGCGGUAAAAUGCGCAGAUAUUAGGAAGAACACCGGUGGCGAAGGCGGCUAUCUGGACAGUAACUGACGCUGAGGCGCGAAAGCGUGGGGAGCAAACAGGAUUAGAUACCCUGGUAGUCCACGCAGUAAACGAUGAUGGCUAACCGCUGGGCUUAUCAGUUCAGUGGCCAAGCGAAAGCGAUAAGCCAUCCACCUGGGGAGUACGACCGCAAGGUCGAAACUCAAAUGAAUUGACGGGG
rnacentral:rRNA from 1 species